rnacentral:rRNA from 1 species
UACGUAGGGGGCAAGCGUUGUCCGGAAUCAUUGGGCGUAAAGCGCGUGUAGGCGGCUUGGUAAGUCCGCUCUGAAAGCCCGGGGCUCAACCCCGGGAGGCGGGUGGAUACUGUCAAGCUCGAGUCCGGAAGAGGCGAGUGGAAUUCCCGGUGUAGCGGUGAAAUGCGCAGAUAUCAGGAGGAACACCGAUGGCGAAGGCAGGUCUCUGGGCCACUACUGACGCUGAGAAGCGAAAGCAUGGGGAGCGAACAGG